rnacentral:lncRNA from 1 species
GGGGAAGCUCUGCUGAUCUCAAUUAAUUCAGGGCAGGCUGAUAGAGCAGCUACCAUCUCGAAUAGCUCCAGCAGCCAUGCCAGUGAGGGAGAAAGAUCGCUGGAGGGUUGCGGGCUAAUGGCUGUCUACCGGAAGUGGCGAACAUCACUUCCGCUCACAGCUCGCUGGUCAGAAAGACUUAGCAGGUUGCGCUCAAUCGCAAGAGACCAGGAAAAGUAUUCCAACCGUGUAUGCAAUAGAGGGAAGAACCAUAAAUCUGUGCCGGUCAGCGGCAAUGACCAUCACUUUCUGAACAAGUGUGACCUGAUGAUGCAGUCACCAGUCUUGUCUCAGGCAGAGGACUGGAACUAACACAAGUGAGGCCAGAAGUGGACUGAGAACACAGGCAAUAAGAUGGGGACUUGAGACUGGCUCAUCGACUGUGCAGAGGAUGAAGGAAAUACCCUCCUGGUUGGCAAGUAAGCAGGGAUAGUCUCCGUCACAAGCUGAAAAAAAACUUUAAUGAAAGGAAGGGGAGCAGAAACUCAUCGCCAGGCUUGAAAGUAAAGCUUCAACCACCUCCUACUCCUGUGUGUCUCGGCUCAAGACCCAGAUUCCCAGAAGAGCGAGCUAGGAUUGACCAACGAGAGUCAGGCACCCAGCCCUACAGCCAGGGGGUGAAGUUUGGUGAUUGACAGCCCCAUCAGAGCCAUGUAACACAGGCAAGGGGUAGUUCCCCAGAGGAAGUGACACCCAGCAAACAGACACACCGACGACAAGUAUAACCACUCUCACAGAACCAGGACUCCUUCUAAGAACAUAGAACCUUGCUGGAGGGGAGGUCCUCAUCUAAGACAGGCACAGAUGGCUCAAAUCACAGUGACAAUGUUACGCUCAGUCAAGAGUAUGAAGAGUCUCAGACCCUCCUUGAAAUUCAAGGCCAGCGCUGGAUAAGGACCUUCAAGGUAUUUAAGCAGCUUCCCAAGGUGCAGCGCCCAGAAGAAAAUGCUCACUGGAUUUAUGGGGCACAUUAUUGAUAAACCCAGCGACCAUGUGUCAUAAUUCAGUAUGCAGGCGGAGAAGCAAAUGGCACUAGAGGUUUUGUAUUAAAUAGACAGACCCUGAGCCUGAUUUAUGUAUCGAGUGCCAGUUGCUCCCAGGGGCACCCAGGACAAUAGGUCUGAAACUACUUCUGUCUUUGCUUCUUGACUCCUUCCUCUGUGUCUGAAAUGAUUCACUAGGCAGUAUGACCUUUGCAAUGUCGUCAUUGCUUGUUACAUCUGCCCUAGGAGGUGGACUUUGAGAUUUACCAGGAAUGAAACCACAUCCAUGACUAUUGCCUUUGAAAUGGGACAGUCCCUGCUGGACACUGUUAAAAUACUUCAGAAGGUAGCAUUUCCCCUGUUUUUCCACAAGGGCUGCUUUCAAGAUAUAACCACCUGUUUAUGUAUGUGUUUAUGCUUCUAACACUUAUUGAAGACCAUUAAGAAACAGACUCUCUGCUCUGCAUUAUGGUUACAAAAAUAUGUAAGAUGUAGCUCCACUCUCAACUUUCU